rnacentral:rRNA from 1 species
AUUACCGCGGCUGCUGGCACGUAGUUAGCCGGGGCUUCUUAGUCAGGUACCGUCAUUUUCUUCCCUGCUGAUAGAGCUUUACAUACCGAAGUACUUCUUCACUCACGCGGCGUCGCUGCAUCAGGGUUUCCCCCAUUGUGCAAUAUUCCCCACUGCUGCCUCCCGUAGG